UCUCAUAGAGCAAACACACAAAAAGAUACAUGCCAACAUUUCGCGGUACAUCCUUGCCAUUGUCGGACUUAGGAGUAGAAAGUAACAACAAACCCAGCAAAGUUAAAGAUGAUACGGAUACAUAUCUGAAGGACCCUAUGUACCUGGGGUACAUCAAGGAACCAACCGACAGAACCAAACAAAGUAGUCAAUGGCCAGGAAGAACCGCAAAGGCAUCAGUGGAUCAGUCAUGGUAGAAGAGAAGCAUGAUGACGCACUCCCGGAUGAUGCAGAGCC
rnacentral:lncRNA from 1 species